UAGUCUAUAUCUCAAGGGUAGAGAGAUCGAUUGAUAAUCGAUAAAUAUGGGUUCGAGUCCCAUUAGACUAA
rnacentral:tRNA from 2 species